rnacentral:tRNA from 1 species
GCCCAGGUGAUGGAAUUGGUAUACGUGGCGGUUUUAGAAAUCGGAUUUUGUGGGUUCGAGUCCCACCCUGGGCACCA